GACGAACGCUGGCGGCGUGCUUAACACAUGCAAGUCGAACGGAAAGGCCUCUUUCGGGGGGUACUCGAGUGGCGAACGGGUGAGUAACACGUGAGUAACCCGCCCUUUACUUUGGGAUAACUUCAGGAAACUGGGGCUAAUACCUGAUAGGAGCUCCUGCCUCAUGGUGGGGGUUGGAGAGUUUCGGCGGUUGGGGGAGGAUUGGCGGCGUAUCAGCCUUUUGGUGGGGUAGUGGCUUACCAAGGCGUUGGCGGGUAUCCGGACUGAGUGUGUGACCGGCCACAUUGGGACCGACAGACGGCCCCGAUGCCGACGGGAGGAAGAAGUGGGGAAUAUUGCACAAUCGGUGGAGGCCUGGUGCAGAAGGGCCGUGUGCGGGAUGACGGCCUUCUGGUUGUAAAACGCUUUCGCUCAUGACGAAGCUUUGUGUGACGGUAGUGGGUAAAGAAGCACCGGCUAACUACGUG
rnacentral:rRNA from 1 species